rnacentral:rRNA from 1 species
GACGAACGCUGGCGGCGGGCUUAACACAUGCAAGUCGAACGGCAAGGCACUGCUUGUGUGGGGUGCUCGAGUGGCGAACGGGUGAGUAACACGUGAGUAACCGGCCCUUGACUUUGGGAUAACUUCAGGAAACUGGGGCUAAUACCGGAUCGGAGCUCCUGCUGGAGGGUGGGGGUUGGAAAGUUUCGGCGGGUGGGGAUGGACUCGCGGCUUAUCAGCUUGUUGGUGGGGUAGUGGCUUACCAAGGCUUUGGCGGGUAGCCGGCCUGAGAGGGUGACCGGCCACAUUGGGACUGAGAUACGGCCCAGACGCCUACGGGAGGCAGCAGUGGGGAAUAUUGCACAAUGGGCGGAAGCCUGAUGCAGCAACGCCGCGUUCGGGAUGACGGCCUGCGGGUUGUAAACCGCUUUCGCCUGUGACGAAGCGUGAGUGACGGUAAUGGGUAAAGAAGCACCGGCUAACUACGUG